rnacentral:rRNA from 1 species
CCAGGCCCUACGGGGUGCAGCAGGCGCGAAACCUCCGCAAUGUGAGAAAUCGCGACGGGGGGAUCCCGAGUGCCAUUCUUAACGGGAUGGCUUUUCAUUAGUGUAAAGAGCUUUUGGAAUAAGAGCUGGGCAAGACCGGUGCCAGCCGCCGCGGUAACACCGGCAGCUCUAGUGGUAGCAGUUUUUAUUGGGCCUAAAGCGUCCGUAGCCGGUUUAAUAAGUCUCUGGUGAAAUCCUGCAGCUUAACUGUGGGAAUUGCUGGAGAUACUAUUAGACUUGAGAUCGGGAGAGGUUAGAGGUACUCCCAGGGUAGAGGUGAAAUUCUGUAAUCCUGGGAGGACCGCCUGUUGCGAAGGCGUCUGACUGGAACGAUUCUGACGGUGAGGGACGAAAGCUAGGGGCGCGAACCGGAUUAGAUACCCGGGUAGUCCUAGCUGUAAACGAUGCGGACUUGGUGUUGGGGUGGCUUUGAGCUGUCCCAGUGCCGAAGGGAAGCUGUUAAGUCCGCCGCCUGGGAAGUACGGUCGCAAGACUGAAACUUAAGGGAGUUGGCGGGGGAGCACCACAACGCGUGGAGCCUGCGGUUUAAUUGGAGUCAACGCCGG